rnacentral:rRNA from 1 species
GACGAACGCUGGCGGCGUGCCUAAUACAUGCAAGUUGAGCGAUGAAGAUUGGUGCUUGCACCAAUUUGAAGAGCAGCGAACGGGUGAGUAACGCGUGGGGAAUCUGCCUUUGAGCGGGGGACAACAUUUGGAAACGAAUGCUAAUACCGCAUAAUAACUUUAAACAUAAGUUUUAAGUUUGAAAGAUGCAAUUGCAUCACUCAAAGAUGAUCCCGCGUUGUAUUAGCUAGUUGGUGAGGUAAAGGCUCACCAAGGCGAUGAUACAUAGCCGACCUGAGAGGGUGAUCGGCCACAUUGGGACUGAGACACGGCCCAAACUCCUACGGGAGGCAGCAGCAGGGAAUCUUCGGCAAUGGACGAAAGUCUGACCGAGCAACGCCGCGUGAGUGAAGAAGGUUUUCGGAUCGUAAAACUCUGUUGGUAGAGAAGAACGUUGGUGAGAGUGGAAAGCUCAUCAAGUGACGGUAACUACCCAGAAAGGGACGGCUAACUACGUG